ACAUCCAGACUGAGACCAAUGAAGCCAGAUUUGCAGAUGGCAUGCUUCUGCUAAGCCAAAGUACAUUUCUAGCAAUGUAGAGAUGGACAUCAGCUGCCUGAAAAGAACAGUACGUUGUUUCCUUUUCUCCGCUGGUGGCUCUUUCCCACCAAACGUUCAUACCAGCUUCAUCUCAUUUAGCCACUGUGACUUUGGGGUGACUUCCAAAGCAAUCCAAUCAGAAUGAGUCGGCAGAUUAACACUAACUUUCACAUCAGGAUGGGUGGCAAUGCAAACGGAAGCAGGUUCCAAGGAAAUACUGCGCUCAGACACAAAAUGACAAUAAGCACGUGACUUCUGCUGAAAUGGAAGCUGUAUGCUUACCUUUUCCUUCCCUCUCCAGUUUCCUCUUUUCUGGUUUAUGGCAAGCAAUAAUAUGCAGCU